rnacentral:rRNA from 1 species
UGCGUAGGUUCUGAGAGGAAGGUCCUCCACAUGGUAUGAGACACGGACCAAACUCCUACGGGAGGCAGCAGUGAGGAAUAUUGGUCAAUGGACGAGAGUCUGAACCAGCCAAGUCGCGUGAGGGAGGAAGGUCCUAUGGAUUGUAAACCUCUUUUGCCGGGGAGUAACAAGCGGGACGUGUCCCGCCCUGAGAGUACCCGGAGAAAAAGCAUCGCUAACUCCGUGCCAGCAGCCGCGGUAAUACGGAGGAUGCGAGCGUUAUCCGGGUUUAUUGGGUUUAAAGGGUGCGCAGGCGGCGAGUCAAGUCAGCGGUCAAAGUGCGGAGCUCAACUCCGUAUCGCCGUUGAAACUGGUUUGCUAGAGUGCGUGCGAGGAAGGCGGAAUGCGUGGUGUAGCGGUGAAAUGCAUAGAUAUCACGCAGAACUCCGAUUGCGAAGGCAGCUUUCCAGCACGCUACUGACGCUCAUGCACGAAAGCGUGGGGAUCGAACAGGAUUAGAUACCCUGGUAGUCCACUGCGGUAAAUCGAUGAUUACUAGAUAUUCGGGCCGAUUGGGGCCUGUGUGUCACAGCGAAAGCGUUAAGUAAUCCACCUGGGGAGUACGCCGGCAACGGUGAAACUCAAAGGAAUUGACGGGGGCCCGCACAAGCGGAGGAACAUGUGGUUUAAUUCGAUGAUACGCGAGGAACCUUACCCGGGCUCAAACGCCAAGAGACGUAAUCUGAAAGGGUUAUUUCCGCAAGGACUGCUGGCGAGGUGCUGCAUGGUUGUCUGUCAGCUCUGUGCCGUGAGGUGUCGGCUUAAGUGCCAUAACGAGCGCAACNCCCCAUUUUCAGUUGCACAUCUGGGUCAUGCCGGGCACUCUUGGAGAGACUGCCGGCGCAAGACUGUGAGGAAGGCGGGGAUAGACAGUCAAAUCAGCACGGCCCUUACAGUCCGGGGCGACACACAGUGUUACAAUAGGCGGGGCACAGAAGGAAGCCAGGCGGCGACGACCGAGCCGAUCCCGAAAACCCGUCUCAGUUCAGAUCGGAGUCUGCAACUCGACUCCGUGAAGCUGGAUUCGCUAGUAAUCGCGCAUCAGCCAUGGCGCGGUGAAUACGUUCCCGGGCCUUGUACACACCGCCCGUCAAGCCAUGGAAGCUUGGAGUACCUAAAGUCCGUGACCGCAAGGAGCGGCGCAAAGGUAAGACAAGUAACUGCU